UGAUGUCAGCGGCCCACUACUA
rnacentral:misc_RNA from 1 species